GAGGGUAUAGCUCAAGUGGUAGAGCAUAUGCUUAGCAUAUAUGAGGUCCUGGGUUCAAUCUCUGUAUCCUCC
rnacentral:tRNA from 1 species